CUGCUUUGGUAGCACAUAUACUCAAAUUGGAACAACACAGUGAAAAUCAGCAUGUCUCCUGUGCAAGGAUAACAUGAAAAUUAGCAAAGUGUUCAAUAUUUUU